rnacentral:rRNA from 1 species
UACAGAGGUCUCAAGCGUUGUUCGGAUUUAUUGGGCGUAAAGGGUGCGCAGGCCGCAUGGUAAGUUUGGUGUGAAAUCCUGGAGCUUAACUCCAGAAUUGCACUGAAUACUGCCGUGCUAGAGGACUGGAGAGGAGAUUGGAAUUCACGGUGUAGCAGUGAAAUGCGUAGAUAUCGUGAGGAAGACCAGUGGCGAAGGCGAAUCUCUGGACAGUUCCUGACGCUCAUGCACGAAGGCCAGGGGAGCAAACGGG